rnacentral:rRNA from 1 species
AUUGAACGCUGGCGGCAGGCCUAACACAUGCAAGUCGAGCGGAUGAAGGGAGCUUGCUCCUGGAUUCAGCGGCGGACGGGUGAGUAAUGCCUAGGAAUCUGCCUGGUAGUGGGGGAUAACGUCCGGAAACGGGCGCUAAUACCGCAUACGUCCUGAGGGAGAAAGUGGGGGAUCUUCGGACCUCACGCUAUCAGAUGAGCCUAGGUCGGAUUAGCUAGUUGGUGGGGUAAAGGCCUACCAAGGCGACGAUCCGUAACUGGUCUGAGAGGAUGAUCAGUCAAACUGGAAAUGAGGCACGGUCCAGACUCCUACGGGAGGCAGCAGUGGGGAAUAUUGGAAAAUGGGCGAAAGCCUGAUCCAGCCAUGCCGCGUGUGUGAAGAAGGUCUUCGGAUUGUAAAGCACUUUAAGUUGGGAGGAAGGGCAGUAAGUUAAUACCUUGCUGUUUUGACGUUACCAACAGAAUAAGCACCGGCUAACUUCGGG